rnacentral:rRNA from 1 species
GGGCUCACACAAGCGGUGGAGCAUGUGGCUUAAUUCGAAGCAACGCGAAGAACCUUAUCCUGGGUUUGACAUGCAUGGAUUAGCUUCCUGAAAGGGAAGUGACGCGGCUUGCCGUGGAACAUGCACAGGUGCUGCAUGGCUGUCGUCAGCUCGUGCUGUGAAGUGUCGGGUUAAGUCCCUUAACGAGCGCAACCCCUAUCCUUACUUGCCAGCGGGUAAUGCCGGGAACUUUAGGGAGACUGCCGGUGAUAAACCGGAGGAAGGUGGGGACGACGUCAAGUCAUCAUGGCCCUUACGAGUAGGGCUACACACGUGCUACAAUGGUCAGUACAGAGGGUUGCGAAGCCGCGAGGUGGAGCUAAUCCCAUAAAGCUGGUCGUAGUCCGGAUUGGAGUCUGCAACUCGACUCCAUGAAGUCGGAAUCGCUAGUAAUCG